UAGGGAAUCUUCCGCAAUGGGCGAAAGCCUGACGGAGCAACGCCGCGUGAGUGAUGAAGGUCUUCGGAUCGUAAAACUCUGUUAGUAGGGAAGAACAAAUGUGUAAGUAACUAUGCACGUCUUGACGGUACCUAAUCAGAAAGCCACGGCUAACUACGUGCCAGCAGCCGCGGUAAUACGUAGGUGGCAAGCGUUAUCCGGAAUUAUUGGGCGUAAAGCGCGCGUAGGCGGUUUUUUAAGUCUGAUGUGAAAGCCCACGGCUCAACCGUGGAGGGUCAUUGGAAACUGGAAAACUUGAGUGCAGAAGAGGAAAGUGGAAUUCCAUGUGUAGCGGUGAAAUGCGCAGAGAUAUGGAGGAACACCAGUGGCGAAGGCGACUUUCUGGUCUGUAACUGACGCUGAUGUGCGAAAGCGUGGGGAUCAAACAGG
rnacentral:rRNA from 1 species